rnacentral:rRNA from 1 species
AUUAAAUAAUAAUUUAAAUUACUUUAAAUAAGUAUAAAAUAUAAAUAUAAUUUUUGAUGUAUUAAUUUCUUUUAUAAAAAUUAUAUUUUAAAUUAUUCUUUACUUCACCCCAUCCUUUUUUUCUUCAUUACCCGCUGAAUUUAAGCAUAUUAUUAAGCGGUGUGAAAAAGAAAUCAAAUGAGAUUGGAUUAGUAGUGGCGAACGAAGAUCCAAGAAAACAAGAUCAAAGGAAAAGAGGUAGUUGAGAAGUAUCAUUUUCUUGGUUAUCUGAUGCUCCUUUUGAGUUAUAUGAAAGUGCGGAAAAGAAAAAGCCUCCAUUACAAUUAUUGAAUUUUUGAAGUUUAGUUGGAAAACUACGCCAAAGAAGGUGAAAAGCCCUGUAAAACUCAUAUAGUAAUUAGGAGGACAUAUAUAAAUCGUUUUUAACUCUAGAGUCGCAUUGGUUGGGAAUCCAAUGUUAAAUGGGAGGUAUACUUCUUCUAAAAUCUAAAUAUGAGACUGAGACCGAUAGAGAAAAAGUACUGCGAAGGAACGUUGAAAAGAAUUUCGAAAGAAAAGUCAAAAGAACAUGAAAUGGAGAGGAGGG